rnacentral:rRNA from 1 species
UGGAAGUAAAAAUCGUAACAAGGUUUCCGUAG